CCACCCUUUAAUGUUUGAUGUUCUAACGUGGACCCGUAAUCCGGGUUGCGGACAGUGUCUGGUGGGUAGUUUGACUGGGGCGGUCUCCUCCUAAAGAGUAACGGAGGAGCACGAAGGUUGGCUAAUCCUGGUCGGACAUCAGGAGGUUAGUGCAAUGGCAUAAGCCAGCUUGACUGCGAGCGUGACGGCGCGAGCAGGUGCGAAAGCAGGUCAUAGUGAUCCGGUGGUUCUGAAUGGAAGGGCCAUCGCUCAACGGAUAAAAGGUACUCCGGGGAUAACAGGCUGAUACCGCCCAAGAGUUCAUAUCGACGGCGGUGUUUGGCACCUCGAUGUCGGCUCAUCACAUCCUGGGGCUGAAGUAGGUCCCAAGGGUAUGGCUGUUCGCCAUUUAAAGUGGUACGCGAGCUGGGUUUAGAACGUCGUGAGACAGUUCGGUCCCUAUCUGCCGUGGGCGCUGGAGAACUGAGGGGGGCUGCUCCUAGUACGAGAGGACCGGAGUGGACGCAUCACUGGUGUUCGGGUUGUCAUGCCAAUGGCACUGCCCGGUAGCUAAAUGCGGAAGAGAUAAGUGCUGAAAGCAUCUAAGCACGAAACUUGCCCCGAGAUGAGUUCUCCCUGAGACUUAGAGUCUCCUGAAGGA
rnacentral:rRNA from 1 species